CAAAAAAAAAAAAAAAAAAGCAUAAGAGAUGUAAAAAAAAGCAACAAGAACAAAGAGGAGAGAGUAAAAAAGAAGCAAAAUUUCUUGGAUGUACAAUAAUGCAGGUUCUGGGUGUCUAUUUUCUUUUAGCUUUUUCGAGCUUUUUAUGUGGGUAAUCGACGAGGUCGUUGUUGGGUAAGGCGUAGAGGGAACAAUCAAAUAUAUAUUUACUUUUUUGCUUAGAUCAGCGAGAAGUUUUCAUUUGAGCCGACCAAACAAGUUAAUAGUGUGCCGUAUCACCGAAAGCUCGGAGCUGAAAGUUGAAAGUUGAUGCCUUUGAUGCUUCUCCUACACCACAGACUGGAGACUAGGAAAGCCCUCAUUGCUGAUUGCUGACUGCUGACUUCUGCUGUCAAGAAUUUGUGACUGAUUGAUGUUGCGUUAAUGUCUAUAAUUUAAUUAUAUAUUUUUUUUUAUUUGGGAAAAUUUUUUUGGCUGAUAUUUUAGCAAAUAACAGGUUGGCAGCAACGUUGACAUCCACUAAUUAAUAAAUAAAAAUUUGGGGCAUAAUUAAUUUCAGAAUUGUGUGGGUCCAUAUGAAGACUCCUUUUCUUUUAAAGCCCAAUGGCUAAU
rnacentral:misc_RNA from 1 species